rnacentral:rRNA from 1 species
AACGAACGCUGGCGGCGUGCUUAACACAUGCAGGUCGAACGGAAAGGCCCUGCUUUUGUGGGUUGCUCGAGUGGCGAACGGGUGAGUAACACGUGAGUAACCUGCCCUUGACUUUGUGAUAACUUCAGGAAACUGGGGCUAAUACCGGAUAGGAGCUCCUGCUGCAUGGUGGGGGUUGGAAAGUUUCGGCGGUUGGGGAUGGACUCGCGGCUUAUCAGCUUGUUGGUGGGGUAGUGGCUUACCAAGGCUUUGACGGGUAGCCGGCCUGAGAGGGUGACCGGCCACAUUGGGACUGAGAUACGGCCCAGACUCCUACGGGAGGCAGCAGGGGGGAAUAUUGCACAAUGGGCGGAAGCCUGAUGCAGCAACGCCGCGUGCGGGAUGACGGCCUUCGGGUUGUAAACCGAUUUCGCCUGUGACGAAGCGUGAGUGACGGUAAUGGGUAAAGAAGCACCGGCUAACUACGUG